ACCAUUGGUGUAUCUCCUCUUUGCCUUCAUGACUGCAUCUCUUUUCUUAGUGAGGAGCUGACUGAAAGCUGCCAUGAGCUCCAGAUAGGAUGUAGGUGUAACAUAAUUAUGGCGACCUAGCUCAGAGAGGAAUCUGCGAAGAAAAAAGUGUAAACAGAAGCUGAUAUAAUGUACUCUUAAUCUUAUUUAUUACUAAGUCACACCUCACUGAAAGUUGACUUGCAGAGGUGUGAAAUGUUUUGCAGAUGGAUACGACCUCCUUCGUCUCAUUGUCUUUCAUCUCCAGCGGCUGCAGGAAAGAGUUGGCUACCCGCUCAAGAGCCUCCUCUGGCCAAGGCUGUUAGGGUGCAGUUAAAUGUGUUACAUUUUUCACACAAGCAAGAAAAACCAUACGUACUUAAGACAGUCAACCAAAAUGGAAAAUUUUCCUCAUGUGCCCAAAUGAAAACUGACCUACAGUGAGUACACUGUGUAUACAGUAUAUGAGAACCUUUGUGUUCUUUGGAUGGUGGACAACUGGUUAGCACAUCUGCCUCAGAGUUCUGAGGACCUGGGUUCAAAUCCGGCCUCGCCUAUGUGGAGUUGGCAUGUUCUCCCCGUGCCUGAGUGGGUUUUCUCUGGGUACUUCAGUUUCCUCACAUACCCAAAGAACAUGCCCAUAGGUGUGAAUGUGGGUGUGUAUGGUUGUUUGUGCCCUGUGAUUGGCUGGCGACCAGUUCAGGGUGUACCCCGCUUCUCGCCCAGAGUCAGCUAGGAUAGGCUCCAGCAUGCCCGCAACCCUCGUGAGGAUAAGUGAUAUGGAAAAUGGAUGGAUGCAUGUGUUCUUUAUGUGACUUUUUCAUACAUCAGCAAAAACUCUAAUUGAUCAUGCAUAUGUAGUACCUGAAACCAGUUUAUGGUGCAACAGUUAAUUAGAGACGGAAACUGGCGCAGGCGAUUACGAAAAGCUUCGCCAAUAGGACUGAAGGCCACAACGAUGUGCAGGUUCUGCUUGCAGCGUGCCACGAAGUAGUUAAACAGAGUCAAAGAGCUCAACUCUACGCUCUUAUUCUUCGCUUGGGCAAUGGGACGUACAGUCUAGAAAUGGGAAGAGAAUGAGAUUAUUUGUAAAUAUAAAUGCAGAGUUGACGAUCGUGAACUCCAUACGUGAUGGUCCGGCAGGCGAAGAGGCAUACGGAGAUGCAGACAAGAAGCACUUUCCAACAGCACAGUACAGUAAUACAUACGCAAACAUAUUGGGCACCUCUCCUGUGUUCAGGACACUGUUUACAUCUUCAAGAAAAGCUUCAUCUUUAAUCUGAGCAUCAAUUACAAGCACAACACUGACCUUGAGGUCAUCCCUCCACUCAACCAUUCCAUAACUCUUUGAAAUCUCAGGCUGGAAAAGGUUCAUCUGGGCGAUGAACGUGGCCAAACGAGUGAUGGACUGGCGUCCACUGCCUCCCACUCCUACUAACAGGGCAUUCCCUCCUGGCUGCUUCAAGACACGGCUUAUGCGGGACAGGUGCUCCAAGACAUAGCUACAUCGGACACAUUUUUAAUUGUGACUACUCUGUUAAUGCUAUUUAGUUGUGCUCAAUAAAUAAAUUAAAAAUAAAUUAUUUUUUUUUAAAAGAAAAAUUAACCUAAAAAUAUCACAUGAAUGCAGCGGUUUUUAAUACAAUACUGUACAUCCUU